rnacentral:lncRNA from 10 species
AUCAUGAGGAGGUCCAAGAACUAUUCUCUUUUUCUUUUUUUAAUGUUAGAAAGGGAUUAACUGGGUAUGUGCUGCAGCAAAGGGAGGGGAAAUUAAGCAAGAAGAGAAGGGAGCCAGGAAAUAAAGGCCCCAACCCAGGAAGCAGUUAAGCAAAGUUCCAGGAUGACCCAUGUGACAAGUUUAGGGGAUAACUUGAGCACAUGGAGGACAGAACUUGGAGAGGGCACUGUGGGCCUGGGCGCCACCUGCUCCGCCAGAGCACUGGAAGAGAACGAGGGCACGAUAAUGGCAGAUGGCACUGAAAGAAAAGGAGAGAGCUUGAGGCACCCUUGGGGGAAGCAGCCAUCAUCAGAGUGUAUUUUAUUUUUAUUUUAUUAUAUUUUGAGAUAGAGUCUCACUCUGUUGCCCAGGCUGGAGUGCAGUGGCAUGAUCUCGGCUCACUGCAACCUCCACCUCCCAGGUUCAAGUGAUUCUCUGCCUCAGCCUCCCAAGUAGCUGAGACUACAGGGGGGCACCACCACACCCGGCUAAUUUUUGUAUUUUUAGUAGAGAUGGGGUUUCUCCAUGUUGGCCAGGUUGGUCUUGAACUCCCGACCUCAGGUGAUCCGCCCACCUUGGCCUCCCGAAGUGCUGGGAUUACAGGCGUGAGCCACCAUGCCUGACCUCACAGCACAUUAUUAAGCUCUGUGGUGAAUAAUAUUUAUAUAGUCACAAUUCUGUAAACACUGUUCAUUUUCUACAAAUUGUGGCAAACCCAAACCUCAAGAAUGGACAGGGCUAGGGUGUAAAAGAGCUAAGUCCUUGCCAGGUUUACCAGGAAGGCAACAGACAGUGUCUAAAACUAUGAGACAGCUGGGCGCGGUGGCUCACGCCUGUAAUCCCAGCACUUUGGGAGGCCGAGGCGGGUGGAUCACGUGAGGUCAGGAGUUUGAGAUCAGCCUUGACAACAUGGUGAAACCCCGCGUCUACUAAAAAUAUCAAAUUAGCUGGGCAUGGUGGCAGGUGCCUGUAAUCCCAGCUAUUAGGGAGGCUGAGGCAGGAGCAUUGCUUGAACCCAGGAGGCGGAGGUUGCAGUGAGCCAAGAUGGCACCAUGCAUAGGUUUUAUGCCAAUACUACACCAUUUUAUAUCAAAGCCUUGAAUAUCCAAGGAUUUUGGUAUCUAUGGGAGGUCCUGGAACUAAUCCCCCACAGAUACCAAAGGAUGAGUAUACACCUUUUCUUACUUUCGAAUUUUGAACCAGACAGAUACGCUGCAAUUCAACAAAUUAAAAUAACUGAACCUACAAUCAAGGAGAAAAAUAUUUAUCCCUAAUAACUAAUGGACCAUCUUACGCCGUCUAUAAAAAUAUCAAUUAAGAAAUCACGGCCGGGCACAGUGGCUCACGUCUGUAAUCCCAGCACUUUGGGAGGCCGAGGCGGGCAAAUCACUUGAGGUCAGGAGUUUAAGACUAGCCUGGCAAACGUGGUGAAACCCCAUCUCUACUGAAAAUAUAAACAAAUUAGCCAGGCAUGGUGACGGGCACCUGUAAUCCCAGCUACUCGGGAGGCUGAGGCAGGAGAAUUGCUUGACCCAGGAGGUGGAGGUUGCAGUGAGCCGAGAUCACACCACUUCACUCCAGCCUGGGUGACAGCAAGACUCCGCCUCAAAAAACAACAACAACAACAAAAAACGCGGUGAUACACGCCUAUAAUCCCAGCACUUUGGGAGGCCAAGGCGGGCGGAUCACAAGGUCAAGAGAUCCAAGACCAUCCUGGCCAACAUGGUAAAACCCCAUCUCUACUAAAAAUACAAAAAUUAGCUGGGCAUGGCGCGCACCUGUAGUCCCAGCUACUUGGGCGGCUGAAGCAGGAGAAUCGCUUGAACCUGGGAGGUGGAGGUUGCAGCGAGCCGAGAUUGUGCCACUGCACUCCAGCCUGGCGACAAAGCGAGACUCCGUCUCAAAAAAAUAAAAAAGAAAUCAGAAACUGUUCAAAUUCCAAUCUAUACAAGUGAAACCUACACAGUUAAAUGUCUUAAUAGAGAGCUAAAAGCAUUAAGUUCUGUCAUACUCAACAUACUGAUGAAAAAAAUUUGAACUAAAAGACAGCCUGAUCUUUAGAAACUGGCAGAAAAAAUAGGGGCUGCAUCCAAGACCACUCACGGCACGUCCAUUCUUCCAGCAGCUCCCAACUGCUAUUUUAUGAAAAGUCCAAAUUUCCCACCCCAAGGUCCUAGAGUACAGCCAGCUCCCUACCAUCAAAAACAAUAGCUACCAAAACUCAGUAAAAUUAGGCUUGUUAUGAAGAGAAGAUUGAAGAAAUAAAGGUAUUUAUUUCAUCUUGGUAUUUGAAUGUGGAAACUCCCAGUAGGGUAAGAAAAAAGAAUUCUGCCAGAGAAAUGAUGAAGUGAAACCUCAAACAAUUUGGGCUUUUGAGUGCCUACUGUCAUCCAGCCACGAAAUGAAGCAUUUUACAUAAGUAAUUUAAGCCCAGUGAUGCAGGCAGUAAGUAUUAUCUCCAUUUUAAGAUGAGGAAAUUGAGACAGACGAGAUUACCUAACUCUCUCAAGGUUUCACCACAGAGCUGUGGUUCAAACCCAUGUGUUCUAGUUUUAUUACAGUUAAGAAACUGCAAGAGUUUGCCAAUUUGUCAAGUGCCAGUCCAAGAUAAAUGGACACUCUGAGUAUCAAAAAAAUACAUAAUCUGCAGAUCAAAACACGAAGAUACAAACAUCUAAGAGUCACCAUGGAAGUUGCGGGGCAUCCAGUGGUUUUUCUGAAAAUCCAUGAAGGAAAAGAAUAAAGCAUUUUUCCAGCCUUUCUUCUACAAACUAUAUUUCAGGGAAACCAAAUAUUUGAUGAGGGAAUUCUUUGUUUAGAAGGAUUUUAGCUAAUAAAUGCAGAGGAAUAACAAGAUUUAGGAGGGGGGAGAAAUCACCAUUUUGUGACUUCUAAUAAAAUAAUGGGUCUAGGCAACAGUUUUCAAUGGAUGCUAAAACGAUUAGGUGAAAAGUUGAUGGAGAAUUUUAAUUCAGGGGAAUUAGGCUGAUACCAUCUGAAACCAUUUGGCAUCAUUAAAAAUGUGACAACCUGGUGGCUGCCAGGGAGGAAGGGGAGAGGGUGGGGGAAGAACAGAAGUUAUAGUUUAUGGGCACAAAGUUUUGGUUUUACAAGAUGAAAAUAGUUACAGAAAUGAAUGGUGGUGAUGGUUGCAGAAUAUUAUGACUGACUAUACACUUAAAAAUGUUUAAGAUAGAGCUGGGUGCAGUGUUGCACACCUGUAGUCCCAGUUAUGCAGGAGGCUGAGGUAGGAGAACCACUUGAGCCCAUGAGUUCGAGACCAGUCUGAGUAACAUAUAGAGACCUCAUCUCACAAAAACAUCACUACCACAAAACAAAACAAAACAAAUUGUUAAGAUGCUAAAUUUUAAGUUAUGUGUAUUUUACCACAAUAAAAAAAAAUGAGGCCGGGUGCAGUGGCUCAUGCCUGUAAUCCCAGCACCUUGGGAGGCCGAGGCGGGUGGACCACAAGGUCAGGAGUUCGAGACUGGCCUGGUCAAUAUGGUGAAACCCUGUCUCUACUAAAAAUACAAAAAAACUAGCCGGACGUGGUGGCUCACGCCUAUAGUCCCAGCUACUCGGGAGGCUAAGGCAGGAGAAUCACUUGAACCCAGGAGGCUGGGGUUGCAGUGAGCCGAGACUGCACCACUGCACUCCAGCCUGGCCAAUAGAGGGAGACUCCGUCUCAAAAAAAAAAAAAAAAAGAAAAGAAAACAUAGUUACCCAGCAAUUCCACUUCUAGGCAUAUACCCAAAGAACUCAAAGCAGGGACUCAAACAGAUACUUGGACAUGAAUCUUCAUAGCAACACUAUUCAUAAUAGACAAAAAGCAGAAGCAACUCAAGAGUCCAUCGAUAGAUGAAUGGAUAAACAAAAUGUGGUAUAUCCAUAAAAUAGAAUAUCAUUCAGCCAUAAAAGGAAUUAAGUUCUGAUACAUACUACAGCAUAGAUGAACCUUGAAAACAUUGUACUAAGUGAAAGAGGCCAGGCAGCUAAACUUCCAAAGACUAAUAUACAAUUCCACUGAAUAGGCAAAUUCAUAGACAGAGGAUAGAAUAAAGGCUAAUGAGGGGUGGGGGAGAAGAGAAUGGGCAGUUAUUGCUAAUGGAUACAAAGUUUCUGUUGGGGAUGAUGAAAAAAUUGUGGAACUGGACAGUGGUGAUGGUUGUAAAACACGGUGAAUGUACUUAAUGCCACUGAAUUGUACACUUAAAAAUAAACUUGUAAAUUUUAUAUUAUAUAUACUUUGCCACAAUAAAAAUUUUUUUAAAAAUGUCUAAGUGUGACAACCGAACUUCUGUGUUAGGAUAGGAAGAAUACUUAUGAAGUAUUCUUGCCCCUGAAAUGAACCAAAAUCUAAUCAAGUCUCUAGAAUAAACAACCAGUUCACAGGAAAUCCACAGAUA